rnacentral:rRNA from 1 species
CGGGUGAGUAACACGUGAGCAAUCUGCCCUUCACAUCGGAAUAACCCCGGGAAACCGGGGCUAAUACCGGAUACGACCACCGUAGGCAUCUACUGGUGGUGGAAAGCUCCGGCGGUGAAGGAUGAGCUCGCGGCCUAUCAGCUAGUUGGUGAGGUAAUGGCCCACCAAGGCGACGACGGGUAGCCGGCCUGAGAGGAUGGCCAGCCACAUUGGGACUGAGAAACGGCCCAG